CCUACGGGUGGCUGCAGUGGGGGAUAUUGCACAAUGGGGGAAACCCUGAUGCAGCGACGCCGCGUGUGGGAAGACGGUCCUCUGGAUUGUAAACCACUGUCCCCAGGGAGGAAGAUGACGGUACCUGGGUGGGAAGCUCCGGCUAACUACGUGCGAGCAGCCGCGGUACUAGGUAGGGGGCGAGGGUUGUCCGGUAUUACGGGGUGAAACGGGAGCGUAGGGGGGGCUGCAAGGUGGGUGUAAAAGCAACCGGCUCAACCGGUAGCAGCACUCAAAACUGCCGUUCUUGAGUGAAGUAGAGGCAGGCGGAAUGCCUAGUGUAGCGGUGAAAUGCGUAGAUAUUAGGAGGAACACCAGUGGCGAAGGCGGCCUGCUGGGCUUUUACUGACGCUGAGGCUCGAAAGUGUGGGGAGCAAACAGGAUUAGAUACCCGUGUAGUC
rnacentral:rRNA from 1 species